rnacentral:rRNA from 1 species
AUUGAACGCUGGCGGCAGGCCUAACACAUGCAAGUCGAACGAGUGGCGGACGGGUGAGUAAUGUCUGGGAAACUGCACGAUGGAGGGGGAUAACUACUGGAAACGGUAGCUAAUACCGCCUACCAUCGGAUGUGCACAGAUGUGAUUAGCUAGUAGGUGGGGUAACAGCUCACCUAGGCGACGAUCCCUAGCUGGUCUGAGAGGAUGACCAGCCACAAUGGAACGGAGAUAAGGGCCAGACUCCGACGUGAGGCAGCAGUGGGGAAUAUUGCACAAUGGGCGCAAGCCUGAUGCAGCCAUGCCGCGUGUAUGAAGAAGGCUUUCGGGUUGUAAAGUACUUUCAGCGAGGAGGCGUUACUCGCAGAAGAAGCACCGGCUAACUCCGUGCCAGCAGCCGCGGUAAUAC